GAUGAACGCUGGCGGCGUGCCUAAUACAUGCAAGUCGAGCGAACAGAUGAGGAGCUUGCUCCUCUGACGUUAGCGGCGGACGGGUGCGUACCACGUGGAUAACCUACCUCUAAGACUGGGAUAACUACGGGAAACCGGAGCUAAUACCGGAUAAUAUAUUGAACCGCAUGGUUCCAUAGUGAAAGACGGUUUUGCUGUCACUUAUAGAUGGAUCCGCGCCGCAUUAGCUAGUUGGUAAGGUAACGGCUUACCACGGCAACGAUGCGUAGCCGACCUGAGGGGGUGAUAGGCCACACUGGAACUGGGACACGGUCCAGACUCCUACGGGAGGCAGCAGUAGGGAAUCUUCCGCAAUGGGCGAAAGCCUGACGGAGCAACGCCGCGUGAGUGAUGAAGGUCUUCGGAUCGUAAAACUCUGUAAUUAGGGAAGAACAAAUGUGUAAGUAACUAUGCACGUCUUGACGGUACCUAAUCAGAAAGCCACGGCUAACUACGUG
rnacentral:rRNA from 1 species